rnacentral:rRNA from 1 species
UACGUAGGGCGCAAGCGUUGUCCGGAAUUAUUGGGCGUAAAGAGCUCGUAGGCGGCCUGUUACGUCUGCUGUGAAAUCCCGGGGCUUAACCCCGGGCGUGCAGUGGAUACGGGCAGGCUAGAGGCAGGCAGGGGAGAAUGGAAUUCCCGGUGUAGCGGUGAAAUGCGCAGAUAUCGGGAGGAACACCGGUGGCGAAGGCGGUUCUCUGGGCCUGUACUGACGCUGAGGAGCGAAAGCGUGGGGAGCGAACAGG